ensembl:lncRNA
AGUUUCCCUCUUCUUUCUGACCAGCAUUCACCAGCAGAUAGAUGCAAAGGUCUUUUUAAUGCCUUUGAAAAGAUGCAUUGUCCUGAGUCAUCCAAGAGGAUGAACAGUGUGAGCUUGGAGCUAGACUGAAGACUCUCCGUCCUCUGUCUGGAUACACUUGGGAGAUUCUCUUGUAAACUGAGUGAAAGAGCUGCCAGACACCAUCUCCUGGAAAUGCCUAGAAGAGACAGGGGGCUAAGAGGAAAACAGCAAACUGUGAAAGGGAGAUCUGUCAGCCUGCAUCAUAUCACCCACCUCCCCGACCUGGGCUCCUCAUACUGACUCAGUAAGUUCAGUCUACUGGCAAA